UCCACGCCGUAAACGAUGUCAACUAACUGUUGGGACCUUUAAGGUCUUAGUGGUGGAGCUAACGUAUUAAGUUGACCGCCUGGGGAGUACGGCCGCAAGGCUAAAACUCAAAUGAAUUGACGGGGGCCCGCACAAGCGGUGGAGCAUGUGGUUUAAUUCGAUGCAACGCGAAGAACCUUACCUACCCUUGACAUCCAGAGAAUCUGUUAGAGAUAGUAGAGUGCCUUCGGGAA
rnacentral:rRNA from 1 species